CUCUGUGUAGCCCUGACUGUCCUGGAACUCUGUAGACCUGGCCGGCUACUCUGCCUCCUAAGUGCUGGGAUUUAAGGCCUGUGCCACUAAUGUAAGGUUUUAUUAAGGUUGGACAUGUAAACUAAUAUCAGAGCUGGAGAGAUGGCUCAGCAGUGAAGAGCACUGACCGCUCUUCCAGAGGUCCUGAGUUCAAUUCCCAGCAACCACAUGGUGGCUCACAACCAUCUGUAAUGGGAUUUGAUUUCUUCGUCCAGUGUGCAUGAAGACAGAACACUCAUAUACUUUAAAAAGAUAGAUGAAAAACAAUUGAUAUAUGUGCUCUUUAAAGGUCUUUGUUGUGUUGUUUUCUUUUCACAGUGAGACUGAUAGAUAAAGACCCAACAAACACUGACAUUCACAGCCUUGGAUUUUACGGAGAUCUCUUUGGGAGUAUAUGCCUGUCGCAUGCCAUCAUUUCUCAGAAGACACCUCAGGAGCAGAAUAAG
rnacentral:lncRNA from 1 species